CCCUUUUUCCCUUCCCUUCCACUCUAGAAAAAUAUUUCUCGAAUACUUAUCAAGCCAAAGAAACUUUUCUUUAUGACAGUUUCUUCCAGCUCCGUUCUGCGGUUUACCUCAGCAUCUGCUUUCUUUUUCCACUCUCCCAACUUACGCCUGGUUUUGAUUAAAACCAAGCCUAGAUGCAUGGCAAGAAAAAGCAGCCUUCCAACACCAGGAGAGCAGGAAGACGAUUUGUCAGCGAUCGCCCGGUCCGGAAAGCAAUAUUUUCUGGUAGCAGCGUUUGCUCCCAGUAGGACUGGGCUAACAUACAGCUUUUACAUUAUUAUUGUAUGCCACAACCAUCUCAUCAAAAAGCUAAGAGACGUUCUUUGAACCCAACUGAAAUCAUCUGUUUAUCCUUUCUGACUGCUUUGCAGGCAAAUUCCUCACCACAGAAUGGGGGGCGAAGGGCACUGCUUCUCUUUGUGAUUCCGCCACGUUUUCAUUUUCAAUGAAGUUUUAUAAAUGUUUGAUUUUUCUCCAAAAUUCCCCUGUUUUGUGGCAGCGGGCCUCCAACCUGCCAGCACAAGAGGUGGUGUAAGUCAGCAGUGUAGAUAAGCGGGCCCGCUUUUAGAUUGUCUCGUUGGGUGUCUCCCUCACAGAUACAGACUGGUGGCUGGAUGUAUGUUUUUUACUAUUAUUAUGUUUAUUUUCUAUCAUUAUUAUUAUGUUUACUCUCCCCUCUCUCCAUCCAGAAGCUCUCACCAUCACUUUCUCUUCCCAGCUUUGUUUUCGCUCAUCCUCCAACUCCUGUCCCCCCCUCAGGGUAUAACCAAAUCCCCGCUGAAAGCCACAAGAAUGCGGUAUUUCAUUGAAACCCUCCCAGGAUUUCCCAAACCAUCAGUUUCCAGUUCAUGCAGGAGAGGGCAGCAGAGCUCAGGGAAUGGGGACAGUCACUCAGAGCGAUAAAAUGCGUUCCAAGGGUUGUGCUGCAUUUUCCCACUAAUUCUGCCCUCGAAGUGGGGCAGCCCUAAGGAACCAGCCAGGCAGGAGAAGCAGAUUUCGGUGUGAUUUAUGACUGGCUGCAGGCUGCUUGGGGAAGUGCAGCUGAUUCUGACUGAGACUUUUGUUUAGGACUGCAACUCAGCCAGGUGAGGACACCAAAUGGGCAGCCCAGCACUCCCACCUUCCUGUGAGCACCUCACCACCGCGUUCUGAAACAGGUGUGUGGUGCCUGGUCACCCCAUGGAGCUCUCGCCUCCUUCUGGGCUAUCACUGCACCUGCUCUACUCUAGACAACUUCAUUCAGAAUCUGCUGUUGCCUUUUCCAUGACGGACUCAUGGCUACUGCAUCAGCACAGAGGUGGGUGAGUGGCUCUUCUUUACCUCCUUAGCUCCCACUUCUUCCAGGAUUGUGCUGCUCAAUCCAGGCCCUUAACUAUUCUGUGCAGAGACAGCUUCAGCAACAGAGAUAGGUGAUGGGUUGUGCAGCCAUGAAUACAGAGCAAAGGGGAGUCAGCCAGGCGUGUGCUCACAAGACUUUGGCGGUACUCCUUUGGACCCCAUCACUGUUGUUUCAGUCAGUUGGAGUCAGCUCUCUUAGACUCUUCCAAAAGAUGCAGCAUGUUUGUUAACAAGGCGAUAGAUGCUUUACAAAGAUCUCUGUGCUACGCAAUUCGUCACUCACUGAGGACCUGUUUCUGCAGAUACAUCUCCUAAAUGGUGCACUUGGCAUCAGGAAUAGUCCUGCUGAAACAUCUCAUCAGUGCACAUACAUAUUUAUGGUUUGUAAUAACACAUUUGCAUGUGAACCAGUUGCUGCUUGGCUUCCUAAAAGAAAUGUUUAAGAAAUUGCUUCUGUACCAAUCCAUGUUAUGAUACUCAAUUCCUCACUUCUUCAAAACAUAUUUAAAUUUCCAUGUGAAGCAUAUUUGCUCUACAGAGAGCUGCUUAAGAGUCAGUGCUGCGCCAUUAAUGCCCUGCCAGCACUUCUGUAUGUGUGCAUGUGAUGAAUGCACUUGGGAUCAGAUGGUGCUGCUUUGGAUUGAACCUGAGCUUUGUGUAUUUCAAGCAGAAUUCUUGAAGCUAAGAGGAACCUGGUGUGAGGGACAGGGGGAGGGCACAGCAUCAGGCCCUUUACUUUCUUCUUUGCUAGAGAUACCUCCAAAGACUUUAUUUUGGCUAUAAUGGUGAACACAAAUUCAUCACUCAUGUAGGUUAAAGAUCUUAUCAGACAAACUUUAGUACAGAGCGCAUUUUACAUUCAAGCUGUGAACCCUUGGAAAUAGGGGCUUAUAAGGACAUUGCAGACAUAGUGUUUAGCAUUGCAGCAGAGACGAUGCCAGCAUGGUUGGCUAAAAUAAUCUUGUUUUUAAGGUAAAGAUUUGGAUCUGUUUUUACACAAUAAUGUCUUGAAAAUAGAGGGAAAACGCUUCUUAGGAUGACUCAUAAAUGUGCUUUAAAAAUGCUAUUAAGAUUUAAGGCAUAAUGCAGAUCCUAUAAAUCUACUCUGCAUUCUUUCACUGGGAAUGAGUGACUUUUAUGAAAACUAGGGAUUAUAAAUCAAGAGCCUAAAUAAGGGUGUUUUUUUUUUUUUUUGACAUGUAAAUAUAGAUUAUACAUUAGCUGAGCCCUGCCUUGCCGGCCUUGUGUUUCCACCAGGGGCAAACAAAGUGAGCAUUAUUCUCCUGAGCACCAGUUUUACCUUGUAAAAGCCAGUUAGCAAAAAUGUAGGGAAGCACUGCUGCUGGAGGAAUGAUGGUCAGUGAUUUGGGAGGGGGAACUUUCUGCUGUCUUACUCAGUCCUGCUUUUUCAUCUCCCUGUUCAUUCACCUGCUGUGUAGGACUGUGUGUUUUCAAGGCAGUAACCACGCCAAUCUCCCCUUCAAAACAAUGAAACAUCCUUAGAAAAUGCUGACAGCUUUCCAUUGCACUACUGCAAAUAUAUACGACCAUUGGACCUCAUCCUAAUUUGUUUUUAAUGUCAUAUCCUGUCCCCACCCCAUAAUUCUUGGGUGAAAUCUGGUGCAGCAAUGUCCUCCAGCCCCCAGCCCCUAUCUGCAGCCCGGGCUCAUGGCAGCAGCGGUUUGCUCAGCCUUAUCUGCCCUAUGCUUCUAUAUUUAAACAAGGAGGGCUCUUUGUUGGCUGAACUUAUAUAAAACAUCGCUUGCCUGGAUGGCUGACUUGUAAAGAAAGGGCAUCUAUGACUUUUAUGCGGCAUUUCAAAGAAGGCAUUUAGUAACAUUGUAAGACAAAGAAGGGAGUCUGUCUCAAUGCACAACUGGCCGGCUAAUGAUUAACUUCUCAGUACUUAAUGGGUUUGUGGCAGAAAAAAAACAGCACUGAGGUAUUGCUCAGCGUUGUGCUAAGGAGCUUGUCGCACUAAAGGGAUACCAGAAACGUGCAGUUGGUGUAAAAUACUCUGUAGUUCAGUUCAAAAUAGUGCAUAGCUAUGAUACUUGCAAGUGCUUUUGUAUUUAAAUGCAGGAGAGAACACUGGGCCUCGUGUGUGUGUGUUGGUUUCCAUAGAGUAAUACUCUUUUUGCUCUUAAUUUCUACUUCUUAGAGAACUAAGAAGAAUGCUUACCUUCCUUCUAGCUACUCCAGAAGUUGCAGAUAACCCCUUCUUCUUCCAUCUGUGGAUGGUUUGGGUAACUCUUAGCCAGUACAACAAGAGGCAAUAAAAUCCUCUGCAAUGUUUUUACAUAAUCCAAAAGCAUUUCAUAAGUAUAGACUUAAGCUAGGGAAAAAGGCAAAACAAAACAGGAAAUCGUUACAGGAGGUGUGACUGUUUCAUUUGUAGUGAUUUUAUCCUUUUUCUAAGAAUCAAAUUAACAUAAGGCAGGUCUCCAAUUGCCUCUCUUUAUAGGAAAUAGAAAUAGAUGCUAUCUUUUCCUUUCUUUUGGCAAGAAAUUCCUUUAUCUGUAGUGAGUUUCACAUCUCCCUUGCUAGGCCAUAGCACUCCAUACAGUGCAAUAGCACAAUAACAGCCUCUUGCAUGGAAUUAAGUGUGUGUAUGCCUCAAUUGGUCCGAGGAACCAAUGGAAAGACGGGAAAAUAGAGAGCAGGGAAAUAUUUAUGUUUUCUUUUAGCUGAGGUUGCAGCUUUCAUAGUUGCUACAAAACUUGUGUUUUUUUAAUUCUCAUCCAUGAGUCUCAUUUUUGCUGAAAAAAACAGGUACCUUUUGUGUCCAAUUUGUUUUUAGGGACAAGUAUUGCAAAUGAGGAAGAACAGGAUGUGUUGACAGUCAGUUGAAAGACCCAAUGUUGAAUCUUCUUGGGGAUUGUUGUUAUAUGCACUUCUAAUUGAAACUGUGUAGAAGUGAGACUGUUGAAAAAAAAAAUGUAUAUAUCUUUAUGUCAACUAUAGGAAACUGCACACAGUACCUUUGCGCCUGCUGUGGUUUAUAAAAGCAGCACCACUCAGCAUGCAUCUUACCCAGUAGUCAUGAUCCUGAAAAUGGUUCAACAAAGCGCUGUCCCCGUUGCCAUUGGAACUGCUGCAUGGCUCUGGCCUGCUUACAUUUUGGCCUAAAUUUCUUAAAAGGUGUUUGAACUUUUGUGAACCCAAAAAGCCUGUGCUGAGGACAUGGGGCUGUGAUUAUUAAACACUUUUUCAAUGUCUCUAACAGCUUUCACCCAAAGACCUUAGGACACUUGAAUGCACUCGUGAUUAACUGCAUUCUCUGCACUUUGUCCCAGUAGAAAACACCUGGGAAAGCCAUGUCAGCUCUGAAUAUACUUUCCCAACACGAGGACACAGUGGAGCAGGACCUGGACCAAAAUCUAGUUUAGAAUACUGCAGACACCGAAGCGGUUCUGCUUUCCAGCUCUGUGUUUUGAGUGGCCCUUUUCUUUACCAUGAUUUAAAUCGUUAAAACCACUUCCAACCUCCAGACAAAACACAGAUACAGUACAGCUCACCACCAGAUUUUUGUGAUGAUUAUACAAUGAGAUGAAGUAUGGGUGUAUGAUUUGAAGACACGGUUUCCCAUGUUUUCUUUUCCCGUUGCAGGACUUUGGAGGAGGAGAAGGAAAGAAACUUUCCUACUGCAACACACCAUGUAGAGAAAUGUACUGAGCUCUGCCCUAGUGUUAAGAUGGCAGCAAUCACAGGUAGAUGUCACCCAUAGUCCAUAGUCAAUCAUAGAAUCAUAGAAUGGCCUGGGUUGAAAAAGACCACAGUGAUCAUCUAGUUUCAACCCCCUGCUGUGUGCAGGGUUGCCAACCAGCAGACCAGGCUGCCCAGAGCCACAUCCAGCCUGGCCUUGAAUGCCUGCAGGGAUGGGGCAUCCACAGCCUCCUUGGGCAACCUGUUCAGUGCGUCACCACCCUCUGUGUGAAGUACACAGCUGGUGCUGGGCACAGUGCUCAUGUUUGCUCUGGGGAUGUUCUGCAGCACUAAGGGACAUGGUUUGGUGGUGGCACUUGGUAGGUGAGGUUGAUGGUUGGACUUCAAUGAUCUUGAAGGUCUUUUCCAACCCAAAUGCUUCUAUGGUUUUAUGAGUCUAUAAAGAGCUCUUGAAGAAGAGCUGUAUCAGUCACACCGCACCACAGGUGGCAUUUAGAUAGUGAUGACUUUCUUUUCAAAACAAAAAGUCAUGUUUGUGCUGUAGCCCAAGCUGCAGCUGGUUUUGCUGUCUAUGUGACUGGAUUUUGUUUGUUUGAAUAUCUCUGAAAGCAACUGUCAACGCUGAUGCUUGAAAGUCUACUUCAUUCUUUCAGUAUUUAGAACACAGCUAAGCAUAAAACCACAGAGUUGCACAGCCAGAGCUUCCUGCCAGCUCUCUUACGUGACUGGGAUUUUAUAGCGAUAUCACACCUAGGUGUGACUGACGAUUCAUAAAGCCCCAGAAGUUAGAGGUGGGAAAGAUUGUUAGGUCACCAGCUCCAUUUCCCUGCCAGGGUGGGAUAUGCUGCAGGUGUUUCUGCUCUGAGACUCAACAGAAGUGCUGUGCCAGUGCUGGUUGUCAUUAAUUAUUGUCCUUGGGAGCUCAGGACUAUCUCCUGUGGUGCUGAGCACUGCCUCCUACAGCAGUGAGAGUCCCAUUGCUCUGUUCUUCCCACACUUGGGACAUCACUGUUUGAAAUGUGAUCUCCUGUGAUCUCUCAUCCAGAAGACUGGAGGACAAUAAAGCACAUGUCAUAUACACAUGGCUGGUGAGAGCUGGACAGCAAGCUGUACCCACUCUACAUGAUAUCUUAGUCUGUCCCUGCCUAUUUUUCAGUCUGGGAGCACUUUCCUUUUGCUGUAGGGAAGCUCAUUCACAGUUAAGUGUUCUCUUCCCCGUCUUAGUAACUGAGCGUUAGAUAAAGUCACUGGAGUCUUGUAUUAUAAUGUUUUCUGAAAAGGAUGUUUCAAGCUAUUCAUUACUAGCUAGAUUUUACAUUUUGUUUGUACUUGUAGAAGUAGGUACAUUGUGUAUGUAUAUGUGUGUGUGUGUAUAUAUAUAUAUAUAUAUAUAUAUAUGCUUCUUAUAAUUGUAAGAAUGAAAUUCUUUCACUAUUUUAUGAGACUCUUAAUACAUCUGACACAAAGAAACUAGAAUUAAAGCGAACAGUAUUUCCCUUUUUACCACAAUAUGAAACCUUGUUUGCUCUCUGACUGCACAUCAAAUGUUGACAUUAACUGGCAGAUAUGCCACUUCCAUGCCAGGGUUUCAUUCUUGGAACAUGAGAUCAGGCAGAUCCUGUGAAAAUAAAUAUGAAAGAAAACACAUUCAGUGAAGUGCUCAGCUCAUAAAGGCGCAGUGCUAAGAAAUGUGGGCAGCCACCUCCACCCCCUCUGAGCUCACUCUGCUUGCAGCUCCCACUUCCCAAGAUUUGCAUUACAGUUGUAUUUUCUGCAGGUAGCCAAUAUGACUCCAUUUUUGUUCAGUUGUACAACUCCAGUCUCCAGUUCCCCCCAACCCAGUGCCAUGUUUUGAAUGAACUCUUUUCUACAUACUGCAAGUAUUGGUUCUGUGAUUAUUUUUCAGCCGCUUCUGUUUCAUAAUAACCUGGCACUUCCUCAGUUUGCUUUGUUACAAACCUUGAGACUUUUGUGUUUUUGUAAAGUGUUCUUUUUCCCUUCUCUCUGUCAUCUAGUCCAACUCCCCUGCAAUGAACAGAGACAAGCACAGCUAGAUCAGGUUACCCAGGACCUGAUCCAGCCUCACUAUGGAAGUCUCCAGGGACAGGGCAUCAACCACAUCUCUGGGCGACCUGUUCCAGUGCCUCACCACCCUCACUGUAAAGGAAGUUACAAGAAGCUACUGCACUAAUAGAAAACUCACAGCAACUCUUUUGGGCUGACAGUCUUGGCUAUGGAGCACCACUUGGCUCUACUCAAGGAGGGCCAUCACCAAAUUCAGUCUUUGGCUGUAGGCGGGGACAGUGGCAGCCAAGUUCAUUCAGCUUCUGUUAUCACCUUUGAACACAUCCAGUCUGAUGAAAUGGACGUACUUUCUACUGUCUCUUCUGUCCAGACUCUGCCAAAGAGGAAUAAAUAAUAUCAAUUCUGCCUGCCUUAUGCAUAUAUCUAUCUGCUCCAUCCUUUCUCUGAGGAUUUAACAAACUCAGGCCUACACUUCUCUGCAGGCAGUCCCCCCUUCAUUUGUUGAUACUCUGAGCACUGUGUGAACCUGCUCCUUCCAGGCUCAAGGCUGAAGAAAGGCCAGAUGAAAACAGGUGAGUAACUGCCUAAAGGAAGAAAAAGUAUAGAUAAAUUCUCUUCCUUGGGAUUGCAUUUAAAGCUGAGUAGGGAGUCCUGGGUUGAAAGGUUAGAAAGAGAAGUUAUUUUUGUUUCUGGUGGAGUUCUUGUUGGAGGAAAGCGUUGAAACGAGAGAGCUUUGGGGUUAAGAAAGUUUCUAUGAUCAAGUAUGUGGUAGCUGAGAAUUUGCUUUAAAUAGUUCCAGUAUAAUCAGUGAGCAGGGAAAUUAAUUUCCUUUCACAAUGAUGUGGUGGAAAGGCAAAACGUUGGGUUACAUCUCAGACAAAAGGAAAGGUAAACGCUUUGCAUUAAAUUCCUUCUGCAUUUCCUAGUUUUACAGACAGCUUUGAAAUUUACAGUGUAGAUGCAGUGGUUGGAAGUACACACUCACCUUGCCUGACCUCCCACACAACACCAGCCUUUGAAUCUGACCCUAUAAUUUCUGCACCAAGCACCUCUCUCUGUUUGAGCUACAACAUGCCUCUUAGAUAUCCAUCUAGUCUUGACUGGGAGACUGCAAAUAAAGGAAAUCCAUCACAUCCGCAGGUAGCUGUGUUUAAAUCACUAUGAUAAGCCUGUAUAUCUAAGGCUCUUCCCAAGGACAAGACAGCAACAAGAAUUUGCAGUAGAGGCCAGCACUCGUGGGAGGGUGAACAUGUGCAGGUCCAGACAUUCUGUUCACAAAGCUCUGAAACAGGGAAAGCACAAAGCAUUGCUCGAGGUGCCACACAACAUAAAUGUAACGUUAUGGAGAGGACUUGCUCAGAAAUGUGUUCUUCACAAAGUUACAGGACUUUGAUGGAGUAAGUUGGUCUUCAUGGCUGACAGGUGGGAGACUAGACAAAACUGAUUGCAAGCCAAUUAAAAACAAUUUGGGAAAGUGGGGUGUGUGUGUAAUGCUACCUGUGAAAACAUAUCCCUUUACAAAUCAUCUUCUUCCUGUCCAAACUAAUACAUAAAAUGUUGUGACAAUAUUUCACUUGUGUUUUUGUCACGGGGGAUAUUCAAGGGUUCAGCAUGUUUCAAUCUUUCUGCCCUGUGUGUUCUGUGCUCUCUGCGUGGUUCCUCUGUCCCAGAUUGUACCGCAGACCCCCAAGUCAUCACUUAAUGCAUCCUGAGCUGCAGACAGCUGUCACAUCCCUUCUCCUCCUUCAGCAUCCUUGACACCUGCUCCCUGGAAGGGAAGACACAAGGUGGUUGCCACCAUUACAUUCACUGUCCCCUCUACACUGCUUGUUAAAAAACAUAGCCAGUUUCUCAGACCUAAGCAUGAACUUUGAGGGGGACCAAUUUCAAUGGCAGUAAGGCAUUGUGCUUCUUAUAUUACUGAAGCAGCAUAGCUCUUAUCAACAUCUGAACAAAUUGGCUGACUUGAACCACGCAAUGGCUGUGUAUUCUUUCUAUAUAGACCUUUUGAUAUGUUCUAACAUGUUGAGGAAUUUUAUUGUCUUUCUGUGUUUUCUUUUCUCUCAUCUUUAAACCUGUACUGAAAGCCCCCAAAUCCUUACAUUUUUUGCUUAAUUCCUCUUCUGUCUCCUACUCUUCUAAAUACAGACCUAAGCACACAUCAAUCAAAGCAUAAAUCCCAGAGACAAACACAUUGCCCUUGCAGCUACUGGGUGCAGCUGGGUGGCAGAACCUCCCAUGGCAGAACCAAGGCACUGCCCAGACCUCAGCUGGUGCCCAUCACCCCAAUUGCUCCAUCUUCAUUGCAUUUCACUGGGAAGGCUUUCUGCAACAUAUGUGCUCAUUCUGUGGAAUAAGCCCUGGCUGACUCACUCAGAAAUAACAGUAGGAUUUCCUCUGAGGGGGAACGUGUGUAAAAGUGCCCUUUCAGUGACUCUACCACCUUUGGAUACCUGCUUUCACUUCAUAUUCCAACAGUGUUAACUUGUAUAUUUCCCAUACUAUUUUUCCUUGUCUUAUGUUUGUUGUUCCAUCAGUGAGCCCUGUGAAGUUUAAACUGUCUGGCUUUACAGUCAAUUCAGUUCCAUCUUCUCUUGUUAGAUUUAUUUUUUACCUGAGUUAACUUCCCCCACUGCUAGUUCUUUAGUUCCUUUGUCUUGUGCUGUUUUUCCAAUUACAGCCAUCCAGGAGAGAUUUUGCGGUGUUUAAGAUGGCUGAGGUAACCCCUAGGUUAUAUUGUUCCAAGUGUUUCAGUGUUCAUCCAGACCACUCGAGCACUAUGUUUGCUUUCAUACUACAGAAAGAGCUGUUCCAUGCUUUUAGUGCAUCUCGGGACAGAAUGGCCACUAUUGUUCCUAAAUGGCUGCACAGGCAUCUGAAAGCUAUUCUGGUUAAUUUAACUACAAAGGCACAAUGAAUCCAAAAAAAUGUAGGAACCUUACUUAGAUUCAGGAAAAUCUCUUUCAAGGCUAAUGAGAUUCCCCGUGCCUCUCAGAAAACUACCCAAACAAGUGCUCCGGUGUGGGUUUUCUUCCCCUCAUAGAAGCCUCUUAAAAGGAGAGUGAGUGGGUCACCACCAGGUCAAGAGCCUGUGGUUAUGAACAUUACCUUUCAUUCACUGGAAUCAGUCAUCACACAGCCCUGCAUGAUGUUGGGUACAGCCUUGUGUCACCAGUCCUUCAAUAUGAGGUAAGGUGUUUAUGGGUGGCAGCACUGAGUGUGUGGCCCGUAGUUGUAUGCAGUGCAAUAAUUCACCUCUUCAAUCCAAAACUUGGUUAAAAAUGAUAUAGAACAACUUUGUAGAGGAAGUACAACAUAUGUUUUUCAUCCAGCAUUUCAAGUUAUGGGCGGUUUAUCUAGCAGUUGUUUAAAUGCAGUUGACCUGUACAUUGUGAAUAAAAUGACAUUUUAAAAAGCUACUAAAUGCUUCGUAUUAAGAAAGUACAAGUACCUAUCAUCAUUAAAAUACUUAGACCUGAGAUGUAAAGAAAAAAAAAAAAGAGAGAGAAAAAGGUGAAGUCUUCAAAACAUGUUUAAGCCAUGCAGAAAAGAUGAUGCCAUGAGGAAAAGAUUAAUGCUAUUCAUCAAUCUAACAAUACAUCAAUUCCAAUUAUUUUAGUCUUUGUUAAGAAAUAAUAUCUGAGGAUACACAAAACACUAAAGUUUACCCUUCUGGCACAUAGUGUGAUUAAUGCAUUUAGUUAGUAGCCUAGUUUCACGAAUAUGGACACAGAGGUUAGAAGCACCUUAUAGCCUGGUACAUGCCUAUACCACCUUAAUUUAGCCCACGCAGCUCUUGUUAAACUUCUAUUAUUUGCAAUACCAUUCUGAAAAUUAUAAAAGAGUUUGAGAAUUUAGGAGUCCUAUAUGUAACAUCCCAGUACAUUAAAAGCCCUCAUUCUUGGGUCUAGCUGCUGCUUGGAAUUAACAGACCCAGAAGUGAAUUAAAUACAAUUUUUUGUGCAGAAUAACAAGUAUGUGCUCUACAGAGCUGUACGCUUCAAGGAGUCUAUUGUACCUAAAAUAAAAUUCCUAUCUCAGCCAGUUAUGAGGAAAAAAACCUUUAGAUUACUCUCCUAGGGAAACUUUGGAGUAGUGUUCUUCCAGGUCAUGAGCACGCUGGUAGAUGUCAAUAGUUACCAGAGC
ensembl:lncRNA